UACGAGGGGGGCGAGCGUUGUUCGGAAUUAUUGGGCGUAAAGGGUGCGUAGGCGGUUUGGUAAGUCUGAUGUGAAAUCUAUGGGCUCAACUCAUAGUCUGCAUCGGAAACUGCGAGGCUUGAGUGCUGUAGAGGGGGGUAGAAUGCCGGGUGUAGCGGUGGAAUGCGUAGAGAUCCGGCAGAAGACCGGUGGCGAAGGCGGCCCCCUGGGCAGUAACUGACACUGAGGCGCGACAGCGUGGGGAGCAAACAGG
rnacentral:rRNA from 1 species